rnacentral:rRNA from 1 species
AUUGAACGCUGGCGGCAUGCCUUACACAUGCAAGUCGAACGGUAACGCGGGGCAACCUGGCGACGAGUGGCGAACGGGUGAGUAAAGCAUCGGAACGUGCCCAGUAGUGGGGGAUAGCCCGGCGAAAGCCGGAUUAAUACCGCAUACGACCUACGGGUGAAAGGGGGGGAUCGCAAGACCUCUCGCUAUUGGAGCGGCCGAUGUCAGAUUAGCUUGUUGGUGGGGCAAAGGCCUACCAAGGCGACGAUCUGUAGCUGGUCUGAGAGGACGACCAGCAACCCGGGGACUGAGACAAAGCCCACACUCCUACGGGAGGCAGCAGUGGGGAAUUUUGGACAAUGGACGCAAGUCUGAUCCAGCCAUGCCGCGUGCAGGAAGAAGGCCUUCGGGUUGUAAACUGCUUUUGUCAGGGAAGAAAUCCUUUGGGUUAAUACCUCGGGGGGAUGACGGUACCUGAAGAAUAAGCACCGGCUAACUACGUGCCAGCAGCCGCCGCAG